UCCCUGGAGGACUAGUGGUUAGGCCCCGGUGCAGUCACUGCCAUGGCCCGGGUUCGAUUCCUGUCCAGAGAA